rnacentral:rRNA from 1 species
UACGUAGGGGGCUAGCGUUGUCCGGAAUCAUUGGGCGUAAAGAGCGUGUAGGCGGCUCGGUAAGUCCGCUGUGAAAGUCCAGGGCUCAACCCUGGAAUGCCAGUGGAAACUGUCGAGCUAGAGUCCGGAAGAGGCGAGUGGAAUUCCUGGUGUAGCGGUGAAAUGCGCAGAUAUCAGGAGGAACACCAAUGGCGAAGGCAGCUCGCUGGGGCGGUACUGACGCUGAGACGCGAAAGCGUGGGGAGCAAACAGG